UUACCAUGCAGUCGACGCUGAAGCCCCAGCUUGCUGGGGUGGAUGAGUGGCGAACGGGUGAGUAACACGUGAGUAACCUGCCCCUGACUUCGGGAUAAGCCCGGGAAACUGGGUCUAAUACCGGAUACGACCGUCGGACGCAUGUCUGGUGGUGGAAAGUUUUUUCGGUUGGGGAUGGGCUCGCGGCCUAUCAGUUUGUUGGUGAGGUAAUGGCUCACCAAGACGACGACGGGUAGCCGGCCUGAGAGGGCGACCGGCCACACUGGGACUGAGACACGGCCCAGACUCCUACGGGAGGCAGCAGUGGGGAAUAUUGCACAAUGGGGGAAACCCUGAUGCAGCGACGCAGCGUGCGGGAUGACGGCCUUCGGGUUGUAAACCGCUUUCAGCAGGGAAGAAGCCUCACGGUGACGGUACCUGCAGAAGAAGUACCGGCUAACUACGUGCCAGCAGCCGCGGUAAU
rnacentral:rRNA from 1 species